GCACUGCUGAGGAGUCCCACAAUAGGACGAAAUGAUCAUCCAGUGC
rfam:Schistosoma rodhaini strain Burundi genome assembly, scaffold: SROB_scaffold0010567